rnacentral:rRNA from 1 species
AUUGAACGCUGGCGGCAUGCCUUACACAUGCAAGUCGAACGGUAACGCGGGGCAACCUGGCGACGAGUGGCGAACGGGUGAGUAAUGCAUCGGAACGUGCCCAGUAGUGGGGGAUAGCCCGGCGAAAGCCGGAUUAAUACCGCAUACGACCUACGGGUGAAAGGGGGGGAUCGCAAGACCUCUCGCUAUUGGAGCGGCCGAUGUCAGAUUAGGUAGUUGGUGGGGUAAAGGCCUACCAAGCCUACGAUCUGUAGCUGGUCUGAGAGGACGACCAGCCACACUGGGACUGAGACACGGCCCAGACUCCUACGGGAGGCAGCAGUGGGGAACUUUGGACAAUGGGCGCAAGCCUGAUCCAGCCAUGCCGCGUGCGGGAAGAAGGCCUUCGGGUUGUAAACCGCUUUUGUCAGGGAAGAAACGCUCUGGACUAAUACUCUGGGGUAAUGACGGUACCUGAAGAAUAAGCACCGGCUAACUACGUGCCAGCCGCCGCCGUAA